rnacentral:rRNA from 1 species
CCUACGGGUGGCAGCAGUGAGGAAUAUUGGUCAAUGGACGAGAGUCUGAACCAGCCAAGUAGCGUGAAGGAUGACUGCCCUAUGGGUUGUAAACUUCUUUUAUAUGGGAAUAAAAUGUUCCACGUGUGGGCUUUUGUAUGUACCAUAUGAAUAAGGAUCGGCUAACUCCGUGCCAGCAGCCGCGGUAAUACGGUGGAUCCGAGCGUUAUCCGGAUUUAUUGGGUUUAAAGGGAGCGUAGGUGGAUUGUUAAGUCAGUUGUGAAAGUUUGCGGCUCAACCGUAAAAUUGCAGUUGAAACUGGCAGUCUUGAGUACAGUAGAGGUGGGCAGAAUUCGUGGUGUAGCGGUGAAAUGCUUAGAUAUCACGAAGAACUCCGAUUGUGAAGGCAGCUCACUGGACUGCAACUGACACUGAGGCUCGAAAGUGUGGGUAUCAAACAGGAUUAGAUACCCCAGUAGUC